rnacentral:tRNA from 1 species
GGCAGCUGCGUCUGCCCCUGAAGCACGUCCACUGGUUACCGGAGGCUCCGAGUGGCGGGUUCGAUUCCCGCCGCUUCCA